rnacentral:rRNA from 1 species
AAACAUAGCCUACUAUUUAACUUAGGUACAACCCUGCCCUCUGACUUUUAACAGCCGCGGUAUCCUAACCGUGCUAAGGUAGCAUAAUCACUUGCCUAUUAAUUAUAGGCUAGAAUGAACGGGAUCACUCACUUAAACUUAUUUUUAUUUAAAUUUAAAUUAAACUUUAAGUCAAAAUACUAAAUUAAAAAGAAAGACAAAAAGACCCUGAAAACUAUUAGAAAUAAUUAGUUGGGGCAACUAUAGACCACUCUAGCGUCUAUUUUUUUUUAAACUCUUAAAAUCUAAAGUAUCCAGUUACUUCAGGGAUAACAGACUAAUUUUAUUAUUUAGACCCAAUAAAUAAUAAAGAUUGGCACCUCGAUGUUGGCUUAUAUUUCCUUCAUAUAGCAACAUAUAUAGAAGGCAGCUUGUUCAUCUGUUAAAUAUUUACAUGAGCUGAGUUCA